rnacentral:rRNA from 1 species
UACAGAGGUGGCAAGCGUUGUUCGGAUUUACUGGGCGUAAAGCGUGCGUAGGCGGUAUCGUAUGUCGGGUGUGAAAGCCCACGGCCCAACCGUGGAACUGCAUCCGAAACUACGGAACUAGAGUGCAGGAGGGGAGAGUGGAAUUCUUGGUGUAGCGGUGAAAUGCGUUGAUAUCAAGAAGAACACCGGUGGCGAAGGCGGCUCUCUGGAAUGUUACUGACGCUGAGGCACGAAAGCUGGGGGAGCGAACAGGAUUAGAUACCCCCGUA